rnacentral:rRNA from 1 species
GCAUAUCAAUAAGCGGAGGAAAAGAAACCAACAGGGAUUGCCCUAGUAACGGCGAGUGAAGCGGCAACAGCUCAAAUUUGAAAUCUGGCGCAAGCCCGAGUUGUAAUUUGUAGAGGAUGCUUCUAGGUAGCGACCGGUCUAAGUUCCUUGGAACAGGACGUCAUAGAGGGUGAGAAUCCCGUAUGUGACCGGCCCGCACCUUCUACGUAGCUCCUUCGACGAGUCGAGUUGUUUGGGAAUGCAGCUCUAAAUGGGAGGUAAAUUUCUUCUAAAGCUAAAUACCGGCCAGAGACCGAUAGCGCACAAGUAGAGUGAUCGAAAGAUGAAAAGCACUUUGGAAAGAGAGUUAAAAAGCACGUGAAAUUGUUGAAAGGGAAGCGCUCACAACCAGACUUCUGGGCGGUGUUCCGCCGGUCUUCUGACCGGUCUACUCGCCGUCCCGAGGCCAACAUCAUCUGGGACCGCUGGAUAAGACCUCAGGAAUGUAGCUUCCCUCGGGAAGUGUUAUAGCCUGUGGUGAUGCAGCGCGUCUCGGGUGAGGUCCGCGCUUCGGCAAGGAUGUUGGCGUAAUGGUUGUCAGCGGCCCGUCUUGAAACACGGACCAAGGAGUCUAACAUCUAUGCGAGUGUUCGGGUGUCAAACCCCUACGCGUAAUGAAAGUGAACGGAGGUGGGAAGCGCAAGCUGCACCAUCGACCGAUCCUGAUGUCCUCGGAUGGAUUUGAGUAAGAGCAUAGCUGUUGGGACCCGAAAGAUGGUGAACUAUGCCUGAAUAGGGUGAAGCCAGAGGAAACUCUGGUGGAGGCUCGCAGCGGUUCUGACGUGCAAAUCGAUCGUCAAAUUUGGGUAUAGGGGCGAAAGACUAAUCGAACCAU